rnacentral:rRNA from 1 species
GUGCCCUACGGGAGGCAGCAGUGGGGAAUAUUGCACAAUGGGGGAAACCCUGAUGCAGCGACGCCGCGUGAGCGAAGAAGUAUUUCGGUAUGUAAAGCUCUAUCAGCAGGGAAGAAAAUGACGGUACCUGACUAAGAAGCUCCGGCUAAAUACGUGCCAGCAGCCGCGGUAAUACGUAUGGAGCAAGCGUUAUCCGGAUUUACUGGGUGCAAAGGGAGCGCAGGCGGCUUUGCAAGUCUGAUGUGAAAGGCCGGGGCUCAACCCCGGGACUGCAUUGGAA